rnacentral:ncRNA from 1 species
AAAUAAUAUGAAUAAGAAUAUGAUGUUGGUUCAGAUUAAGCGCUAAAUAAGGACAUGACACAUGCGAAUCAUACGUUUAUUAUUGAUAAGAUAAUAAAAAUGUGGUGUAAACGUGAGUAAUUUUAUUAGGAAUAUUGAACUAUAGAAUAAGUUAAAUACUUAAUAAUUUUAUAUAAGAUUAUAUUUUAUAUAUAAUAAAGGAUAUAUUAUAUAAUAUAUUUAUCUAUAGUCAAGCCAAUAAUGGUUUAGGUAGUAGGUUUAUUUAAGAGUUAAACCUAGCCAACGAUCCAUAAUCGAUAAUGAAAGUUAGAACGAUCACGUUGACUUUGAAAUAUAGUCAAUAUCUAUAAGAUACAGCAGUGAGGAAUAUUGGACAAUGAUCGAAAGAUUGAUCCAGUUACUUAUUAGGAUGAUAUAUAAUAAAUUAUCAAUAAUAUAAAUAUUAAAAAUAAUAAUUAUAUAUAUAUAAAUUGAUUAAAAAUAAAAUCCAUAAAUAAUAAAAAUAAUGAUAUUAAUUACCAUAUAUAAUAUAUGGAUAUAUAAUAAUUAUAAUAUAAUAAUAUUAUAAUAUAAUUAUAUAUUUUAAUAGUCCUGACUAAUAUUUGUGCCAGCAGUCGCGGUAACACAAAGAGGGCGAGCGUUAAUCAUAAUGGUUUAAAGGAUCCGUAGAAUGAAUUAUUAAAUAUAAUUUAGAGUUAAAAAAUUUAAUUAAAGAAUUAUAAUAGUAAAGAUGAAAUAAUAAUAAUAAUUAUAAGACUAAUAUAUGUGAAAAUAUUAAUUAAAUAUUAACUGACAUUGAGGGAUUAAAACUAGAGUAGCGAAACGGAUUCGAUACCCGUGUAGUUCUAGUAGUAAACUAUGAAUACAAUUAUUUAUAAUAUAUAUUAUAUAUAAAUAAUAAAUGAAAAUGAAAGUAUUCCACCUGAAGAGUACGUUAGCAAUAAUGAAACUCAAAACAAUAGACGGUUACAGACUUAAGCAGUGGAGCAUGUUAUUUAAUUCGAUAAUCCACGACUAACCUUACCAUAUUUUGAAUAUUAUAAUAAUUAUUUAAUUAUUAUAUUACAGGCGUUACAUUGUUGUCUUUAGUUCGUGCUGCAAAGUUUUAGAUUAAGUUCAUAAACGAACAAAACUCCAUAUAUAUAAUCUUAAUUAUAUAUAAUUAUAUAUUAUUUAUUAAUAUAAAGAAAGGAAUUAAGACAAAUCAUAAUGAUCCUUAUAAUAUGGGUAAUAGACGUGCUAUAAUAAAAUGAUAAUAAAAUUAUAUAAAAUAUAAUCUCUUUCAAUAAAAAAUAAAAAAUAAUGAAAUAAAAUAUAUUUAAUUAAUAAUAUAAAACAUUUUAAUUUUUAAUAUAUUUUUAUAUUAUAUAUUAAUAUGAAUUAUAAUCUGAAAUUCGAUUAUAUGAAAAAAGAAUUGCUAGUAAUACGUAAAUUAGUAUGUUACGGUGAAUAUUCUAACUGUUUCGCACUAAUCACUCAUCACGCGUUGAAACAUAUUAUUAUCUUAAUAUUUAUUAAAUAAAUUAUUAAUAUAUAUUUUAAUAUCUAUUUAUUUAUAGUAGAAAUAAUAUGAAUUAAUGCGAAGUUGAAAUACAGUUACCGUAGGGGAACCUGCGGUGGGCUUAUAAAUAUCUUAAAUAUUCUUACA